rnacentral:rRNA from 1 species
CCAGACUCCUACGGGAGGCAGCAGUGGGGAAUAUUGCACAAUGGGGGAAACCCUGAUGCAGCGACGCCGCGUGAGUGAAGAAGUAAUUCGUUAUGUAAAGCUCUAUCAGCAGGGAAGAAAAUGACGGUACCUGAGUAAGAAGCCCCGGCUAACUACGUGCCAGCAGCCGCGGUAAUACGUAGGGGGCAAGCGUUAUCCGGAUUUACUGGGUGUAAAGGGAGCGUAGACGGCAGUGCAAGUCUGGAGUGAAAGGCGGGGGCUCAACCCCCGGACUGCUCUGGGAACUGUCAGGCUGGAGUGCCGGAGGGGUAAGCGGAAUUCCUGGUGUAGCGGUGAAAUGCGUAGAUAUCAGGAGGAACACCGGCGGCGAAGGCGGCUUACUGGACGGCAACUGACGUUGAGGCCCGAAAGCGUGGGGAGCGAACAGGAUUAGAUACCCCCGUA